rnacentral:rRNA from 1 species
CAGCAGCCACGGGAAUACGUAGGGUGCGAGCGUUGUCCGGAAUUACUGGGCGUAAAGGGCUCGUAGGUGGUUUGUCGCGUCGUCUGUGAAAUUCUGGGGCUUAACUCCGGGCGUGCAGGCGAUACGGGCAUAACUUGAGUGCUGUAGGGGUAACUGGAAUUCCUGGUGUAGCGGUGAAAUGCGCAGAUAUCAGGAGGAACACCGAUGGCGAAGGCAGGUUACUGGGCAGUUACUGACGCUGAGGAGCGAAAGCAUGGGUAGCGAACAGGAUUAGAUACCCCAGUAGUCCUGUCUCUUAUAC